UCAUCUCUACAAUUCGACCGGGUUUUCAUCGCUUUACCAUUUGGUUUGUGUUUUGUCUCUCGCCACUCUCUCUGCUUCUCUCCAGCUUUUGCUCUUGCUUUUAGUUCUUCUCGAAUCGUCUCUCAAUGUUAAUCUCUCUACUUCAACUGCGUCUUCUUCACUUUACCUUUGGGUUUCGUUUUUCAGCUUCGGUAAUCUAUGACUUGUUAAUUCUGACCAAGACUUUCUCUAUCCUCUCUCCUUUUUACAGCCAUUAAUGAAUCACCAUGAGGUUUCAUUUCCUGCUUUUUAUCAGUUCCAUCUGCAUCUUUUUUAAGCCAGAAGAGCGAACUUCAUGCAGUACAGCAAUUUCUUGGAAGGACCAGAGAUUACGUUAUAAAGCACGGAGCCUCUUUACAUUGUCCAAUUCAUAUUGCUUAGUGCUGAUGUAUAAGGAGAACUCUCAUUGCAUCAACUUGAACAACCAUGCUUUUGCUUAGUUGCUAACCGCGUUAAUUUUUAUGCCGUGAAUCAAAGAACCAGAGCCUGUCCAUACUGGAGAGCUCCAUAGGAGAGGGUGGCUGCUUUACGAAAUUUGCAAAGGGCAGAAAAUGAAUGUGAAAUCUGACACCAAUUGAAUAUACCGUCAAUGCCCAUCUUGCAUAGUUGUGAGUUUUGAACUCCUCCUCGCAAGAGAAAAACCCAAUAACUUUUCGUUUCAGAGUUUUGAUUUUUAUGGAAUUUGAAGUGAAAGAUUUGGUACUUAAUUUUGAGGUUUAAAAAAAAAAAAAAAAAACAUAAUGUUAUAUGCCAUAUCAGAUGUUAAUACACUUGGAUCACACAUUUCACGGGAAAAAUGAAUGCAUUCUUAAACUUAUGUAGAAACAAGAAUUCAGCAAGUUUAUCAUACAUAACGAAAGGGAAUACGGUUUAUCUAGAAAAAUAUGAAAUCAUUCAUUGUAAUUUUGGCUAUAUAUGAUUUGCUUCUGUUUUUCGUUUCAGAA